CCACCAGAUACAACAUCAUAUGGUCUAUGUGUAUUAGAAAGAUGUGGUGGACUAGGAGUAGAGUGGGGAGAUUGGAUAUUUGUAGGUAUUUGAGAGGUGGGAGCAUGAAUUGUAGACAUUUGUGGACUUGGAGUAGAGAGGAAAGGUGGGAAAUUUGUAAAUGUUUGAGAUAUGGGAUGAUGUUUCGGUUGCCUUGUAGGUUGUGGAAGUUGGAUAUUUGAAGGUGUGUUAGAUGUAAGAUGAUGUGUAGGUUUCCUUGUAGAGUGGGGUUGUUGGGUAUUUGUAGGUAUUUGAGAAGUGGGAGCAUGGACAGUAGACAUUUGUGGACUUGAAGUAGAGAGGAAAGGUGGGAAGUUUGUAUGUGUUUGAGAUAUGGGAUGAUGUGUAGGUUGCUUUGUAAAUAGGGAUUGUUGGAUAUUUGAAGGUGUUUUAGAUGUAAGAUGAUGUGUAGGUUUCCUUGUAGAGUGGGGUUGUUGGGUAUUUGUAGGUAUUUGAGAAGUGGGAGCAUGGACAGUAGACAUUUGUGGACUUGAAGUAGAGAGGAAAGGUGGGAAGUUUGUAUGUGUUUGAGAUAUGGGAUGAUGUGUAGGCUGCUUUGUAGAUAGGGAUUGUUGGAUAUUUGAAGGUGUUUUAGAUGUAAGAUGAUGUGUAGGUUUCAUUGUAGAGUGGGGUUGUUGGGUAUUUGUAGGUAUUUGAGAAGUGGGAGCAUGGACAGUAGACAUUUGUGGACUUGAAGUAGAGAGGAAAGGUGGGAAGUUAGUAUGUGUUUGAGAUAUGGGAUGAUGUGUAGGUUGCUUUGUAGAUAGGGAUUGUUGGGUGUCUGCAGGCCUAGGUGCUUGUAAUCUAGAAGAAUGCGACAAAGUAGUUUUAUGCUUACCUCCCUUAUUUCCCUUAACUUUGUUGAUGCUUAUACCAGCACCUCUUCCAC
rnacentral:lncRNA from 1 species